rnacentral:rRNA from 1 species
GUUUGAUUCUGGCUCAGAUUGAACGCUGGCGGGAUGUUUUACACAUGCAAGUCGAACAGCGGCACGGACUUUCCGGUCUGGUGGCGAGUAGCGAACAGGUGAGUAAUGUAUCGGAACGUGCCCUAGUAGCGGGGGAUAACUACGCGGCCCGUAGCUAAUGCACAUACGCCCUUCGAGGAAAAGCAGGGGACCUUCGGGCCUCGCACUAUUAGAGCGGCCGAUAUCGGAUUAGCUGGUUGGUGCAGGGUAACGGCUCGCAAAGGCGACGAUCCGUGGCUGGUUUGAAGGACGACCAGCCACACUGGGACGGGGCCUGGCCCAGACUCCUACGGGAGGCAGCAGUGGGGAAUUUUUGGACAAUGGAAACCCUGUUCAGCCAUCCGCGUGUGCGAUGAAGGCCUUCGGGUUGUAAAGCACUUUUGGCAGAAAGAAACGGCACCGGGAUAAUACCCGGUACAGCUGACGGUACCUGCAGAAUAAGCACCGGCUAACUACACGUGCAGCAGCCGCGGUAUUACGUAGGGUGCAAGCGUUAAUCGGAAUUACUGGGCGUAAAGCGUGCGCAGGCGGUUCGGAAAGAAAGAUGUGAAAUCCCAGAGCUUAGCUUUUGGAACUGCAUUUUUAACUACCGAGCUGAAAGUGUCAGAGGGAGGUGAUUCCGCCGAUGGCAGUGAAAUGCGUAGAUAUGGAGGAACACCGAUGGCGAAAACGGCCUCCUCAGGAUAACACUGACGCUCAUCUCGAAGCGUGAGGAGCAAGCGAGUUAGAUGCCACGGUAGUCCACGCCUAAACGAUAUCAACUAGCUGUUAGGGCCUUCGGGCCUUGGUGGCGCAACUAACGCGUGAAGUUGACCGCCUGGGGAGAGUACGGUCGCAAGAUUAAAACUCAAAGGAAUUGACGGGACGCACAAGCGGUGGAUAUUAAAAGGUUAAUUCGAUGCAACACCCGAAAAACCUUACCUACCCUUGACAUGUCUGGAAUCCCGAAGAGAUUUGGGAGUGCUCGCAGAGAACAGAACCUGAGUGCUGCAUAGCUGUCGUCAGCUCGUGUCGUGAGAUGUUGGGUUAAGUCCCGCAACGAGCGCAACCCUUGUCAUUAGUUGCUACGAGGCACUCUAAUGAGACUGCCGGUGACAAACCGGAGGAAGGUGGGGAUGACGUCAAGUCCUCAUGGCCCUUAUGGGUAGGGCUUCACACGUCAUACAAUGGUCGGGACAGAGGGUCGCCAGCCCGCGAGGGAGCCAAUCCCAGAAACGAUCGUAGUCCGGAUCGCAGUCUGCAACUCGACUGCGUGAAGUCGGAAUCGCUGGUAAUCGCGGAUCAAUAUGUCGCGGUGAAUACGUUCGGUUGUACACACCGCCCGUCACACCAUGGGGUGGGUUUUGCAAGUAGUUAGCCUAACCGUAAGGAGGGCGAUUACCACGGUAGGAUUCAUGACUGGGGUGAAGUCAUGGCAAGGUAA